AACGUAGGUGGCGAGCGUUAUCCGGAUUCAUUGGGCGUAAAGAGCUUGUAGGUGGCUGGGUAAGUUGGACGUAAAAACUCCGGGCUUAACUUGGAGCAGCCGUUCAAGACUGUCCGGCUGGAGGGUGUCAGAGGGAAGUAGAAUUCCUGGUGUAGCAGUGAAAUGCGUAGAUAUCAGGAGGAAUACCCGUGGCGUAGGCGGCUUCCUGGGGCACACCUGACACUGAGAAGCGACAGCUAGGGGAG
rnacentral:rRNA from 1 species